rnacentral:rRNA from 1 species
AAUAAACGUUGGCGGCGUGGAUUAGGCAUGCAAGUCGAGCGAGAACCCGCAAGGGGGACAGCGGCGAACGGGGUAGGACAACGUAGGUAACGUACCCUCGGGGCGAGGACAGUCACGGGAAACUGUGGGUAAUACUCGAUAAUCUUCCCAAUCAUAAUCGGAGGGAAGCAAUGGGUGAGAUUCCACCUGAGGAGCGGCUUACGCAGUAUCAGCUAGUUGGUGAGGUAACGGCUCACCAAGGCUAUGACGCUUAGGGGAUGUGAGAGCAUGAUCCCACCACUGGCACUGAGACACUGGCCAGACACCUACGGGUGGCUGCAGUCGAGAAUCUUCGGCAAUGGACGCAAGUCUGACCGAGCGACGCCGCGUGCGGGAUGAAGGUCUUCGGAUUGUAAACCGCUGUCAGAGGGGAUGAAGUGUACGGGAGUUAUCUCCUGUAUUUGACAGAGCCUCAGAGGAAGCACGGGCUAAGUUCGUGCCAGCAGCCGCGGUAAUC